rnacentral:lncRNA from 1 species
AAGUAAUGUGUAAUUACACCGGAGCCUGCGCGCUUUGAAGCCCUAUCCACGAUAGCAGGGGAGGUCACAGUGGGACGCGCCCCGCGUCGCGCAAAACACCGGCGCGGCGCGGUGCCGCUCGAGGUUCUGAGAGGAAACACAGUAAUUUAACGGCGCGAGCGAUCCACACAGUCCACAGACAAACACAGCGGCGGCGGUAAUGGCUGCUGUUCAUCUGCCGACACCUGUGAAUUAACAACCGGGGGCUGCAGGGCGCCGUCCAGCAGCGCGGCAGCGAAAUGAAACACUGUUUUCAUAUCGCCGCUCCAUUGAUCUCGGGGUGAAACGCUUCCUGCGGGAGCUGCAAGCGGAAGGCGACGCCACGUCUCAAAGGCCGCGCGACUGGUGGAGGUGAACGGGCCUGUGGAUCUGCACUUCACGCACAGACACCUCUCAGUCCCAGGAAGGACUCGAACCAACGACGAGGCUCCACCUGCCGAUGGACGGAUCCUUCUGCUGGAGCCGCCUUCCGACGGUCGGAGAACGGUGGGAGCAGCCAACUGGAUAAAAAGAAAAAUAUGCAGAGAACCUCUGUUGGCGGAUGAAGACUCUUCCUCAACUCACUUGAGGCGACUACAGCUGAUACCGUCCAGAAGUAAAGGAAUGAAGAUCACCAUGAGGCCAAAAAGGCGUCUGUGCAGGUGCAGGAGGCCAUCGCUGGUGUGAGGCAACGCACAAACAAAGCCAAGACCCAACGACUGACCAGCACCAUGGUUUGGACCCUUCUCGCAGAGGAAGGAAGGAACCGGCAGAGAAGAUCAUAUGAGGGUCAAAGGUCAAGAGGGACGACAUCUGGUGGAGUCCAACAGAAAGGCCUGGCAGAAGCAUCAGCAACGGAAGAAGAAUGAAGCGUGGUGGCGACUCUGCUUCGCUUCCUCUGGCGCUGGAAACAUGUGGCAUGUGGAAGUAUCGGGACAUAUUGUGGAGGAAAACAACAUCCCCUUUGUUAGAAACGGGAGGUUCGGGCAUUAAUGGUCCUUCCAACAAUGCAGUGAUCCCAAAGCAGGUCUCAACAGCAGCAGUCCAAGACGUUUGACUGGAAAAUCCCCUCGGUGCUUUUGUAACAAGCACACGUAUGAAAGGUUUAACUGUAUAUUAAGUGUUAGCGUCUUUGUGCCCUGGAG